AUGUUGACAACAUACUUUAAAGCAAACAACUUACAUGUGAAAGCACGAGGCAUACUAUAUAGGGACUUUCCGGAAUAUUAUACUUGGCAAAGACGAGGGAAAUUUUGGCAAGAAAGGAAACGAGCCGCUCUGUCCCAGGUUGGCAAGAUCAUCUCAGCACACCCGGCCGAAGGAGAACGAUACUAUCUUCGGGUUCUCCUAAACCACGUGACAGGCGCCACCAGCUACGAAGGCCUACGAACAAUUGAUGGACAAGUAAUGCCAACCUUCCGUGAAGCAGCAGAAAAAAGGGGGCUCAUUGAGAUU
rnacentral:rRNA from 1 species